rnacentral:rRNA from 1 species
CCUCUUGGGGGGAAACCUCCCUGAGGUACGGGCAACUUUACCCUUGUCUAUACAUACCUAUUGUUAUUUCCCUCGGCGGGGCAACCCGCCGCUGGGGACAAUCUAAACCCUUUGUAUUAAAGUAUCAAAACUUCUGAAAAAAACAAAUAAUUACAACUUUUAACAAUGGAUCUCUUGGUUCUGGCAUCGAUGAAGAACGCAGCGAAAUGCGAUAAGUAGUGUGAAUUGCAGACUUUAGUGAAUCAUCGAAUCUUUGAACGCACAUUGCGCCCCUUGGUAUUCCAUUGGGCAUGCCUGUUCGAGCGUCAUUUACACCCUCAAGCUACGCUUGGUGUUGGGCGUCUGUCCCUGCUUUACGCAAGGACUCGCCCCAAAUUUAUUGGCAGCGGCAUUGUCGGCUUCUUGCGCAGCACUUCGCGCCUUGAAGAUCCCCGGCGGGCUUGCGUCCACUAAGAACCCCCCCAGUUUGACCUCGA